ACGAGUAAUGGCUGCCGUCGGCCAUUUUGUGGUUUACGAGUUGAUAAAUGAGAGAGUUGACCAUUUUGUAUUUGGCGUGUUGGAUGCGCCUGAUGAGGUGACCCCCUGGGUGGUAUGUUGGAAUCAUCGAGUUGUGUUGCAGUGGUAUGUCAUUUUAUGGUCAACAUUUCUUAAUGAGACUUUUUACGGAGCUAGGUACUUCUUAUGAGGGGUUGUUGCCUUGAGAGGGAGCCUUUGCUUGCGGGGGUGUGGUAGCACUAGAUGGCGAAGGGUAGCAGGGAAAGAAAAAAAAGGUACCUGUGCCCUCUAGCGGUACAGGUUUGCAAGUAAGGUGUCAGGAUUUGAACGGAGCUUAAAACGCUAGCUGGUCUAGCAGUUAACGGAGUUAAUCACUAGACCAACUAGAGCUUACUUUGAGGAAGACUAAAAAAAGGUAACAAAUAGUUCGUUAAUUCACCUUGAAUGCAAUAUUUGCAUUAUAAGCGGAGCUGGUCCAUCAAUAUGGAUACGUUGCCACGGUUGAUUCCAGUGUUUAGUACAGCGAAUUCGAUUACAUAUUUCGCUAUCAUUUUGAUAUAUAAUGGGUAUCUUGGUCCAUAUCUGCAUUAGUUUGUUAAACGUUUAGUUGCAGUAAUGCAUUCCUCGUUUCAUUAAAGUACUUUUCUUUUUCCGCUUCGAAUUGUUGUAUACUUUCAAGUAUUUGAUUCAUUUUAAUCUAGAAAUUGUAUAAUUACCAUAUCGAUGUAAAAAUGUAAACUCACCACUCAAUCACCGCGCACAGUUGCAUGUAAAUGAAUUGUAAUCAAUAUCCGCCUUAGUCCUUUAGAUAACAGGAAAAGAGUAACCGCAGCGAGCAAUUAAAGUCGCAUACACACGAAACAUAAAAAAGGCUACGUAUAUAGGUACUAUAUAACGCGCAUGUCUUAUAAUCAGUGUAAAAGAGUCGAUACUAAUCCUUGGGACAGCAGUAGCGGAUCGAAUCGUGCUACCUACAUUAUGAGCGAUCAACAAAACAAUUUGAACCUGUCCUCAAAGAGCUAUGGAGUGAGGAAAGCGCAAAUUUUAGUUGGAUUGAUAAUUCGGCAGAAACGAUAGUCACAGAUUCGACUUUAAUAUCAACAUGAUCUUUAAUUCUCGAUGGAGUGAUUAGACUAGAACUGUGGCAUUGAAGGAUUUUGCGCCAUCCGUGCAAGUAUUUUGUAAUCAGGCAUAUUUCAAAUAUUAAAACAGAGCGUAUAAUUCGGCUCAUGUUAAAUGGUCUGGAAGAUCAGCAGAAUCAGGAAAGGUUUAUUGGCUGUGGCAUAACAAUCGAGGCAGUUAAUUUUACACCAUUUUACAUAGUGUUCUGUUAAUCAAAAAAGCGAUCACCCUCCUUUUUGCUGCCGUAACUGCUGUGAACCAAAAAUUAGACAACUUUAAUGAUCAUUCCAUGUACUGAACGUAUUACAACUUCAUAUGUGCAGUAGAAGAAACACUUCAUAGGGAAGUUAAAACACAUGACGAAAGCAUUUUGUCAAGAGGGAAAUUUUUCUGUCAAAACCUCUAAAUUAUUAAAAUCGAUAGUUGAAUGCAGGCAAUGGACAACUGAUUUAACGUUUUGUUAGAAAUUGUAAAUAUUUACCCUGAAACGUUUAAGGAUGUUAGAGAUAAGCUAAGAAUAUUUUAAAAAAAGCUGUAUGUUAUUAAUAAAACACCUUCAUAAGUAUAAUCACUCUUUUAUUUUCUAAUACAAGUACGUCUAGGUUGUAAAUAAGGUUUAACAUGCUUAUCAAAUUUGAUGAGAUUAGAUAAUACAUCAUAAAGCUGUUCUAGUAGCCCCUUAUUAGCGCAAUGAAUCUUGAAUAAAGAUAAAUCCAGGAUUCCUGUUUGAGUCACCUGCUCCGAAAAUUCACUAUAUUUAUAAAAUUUAUUGUUGUUAUCAAUAAAGUAGAGAUAACCAUCAAUAUAUUUAAACACGGAUGUGAAUUUGUUGGGGAUGUAAGGAAAUGUUUGGCUGUAUAUCAAUCGAUUCUUCGGUUUAUUAUUGCAAUCAUCAAACUCGAUCACUUCGUUCGAGCCAUGGUAAAUAAGUGAGCGUCCAGAAUAAGUGUUAAAUGCAGCGUUCACUGCACCUGGGAUCCCAAAUCGAUGAUAGGGCUGAGGCCAUCCUGCUAGCAAUUGUAAACUAGGGAACUGCACUAUGUAAAUUUGACCUCCGCUAAUGAAUAUAAUGUCACUAUUAGGUUUCUGAUAUAUCGCUUCGAAACGUUCGAAAGAUUUCGGAAGGAACGGCAGCCAUUCGAAUAAAUUCCUCGCGGUCUCAAUGUAAUUACUACCUAGAGCUGAUAUCCUCACCCAAUGUUUGUAAAACAUAUAAAUUCGUUUGUUUAAAAUUAAAAAGCGUUCCACUUGAAUUGCGCACAAAUCGGGUGGUUCACUAGAUGACGCUUUUUCUUCAGAGUAGUAUCAGCAGUGGUGCUUGUAGUUUUUGUAGUAGUAGAAGUAGCCUUCUUCAUUGGGAUCUAGCUUCUGUAUACCUACGAUAUCAUCAGCGCCCAAAUCACGCUUAUCGCGAGUUAUAUAGGGAAACAUAAUUGCAUCUUCAUCCUUCGAAUGUUCUAAUCCCAGUGCAUGAUCUAUCUCAUGAACUAAAACCGCAUAGUAGCUAGUUGAAUCUGCAGGCGGUAUAUUUGAAUCCUCAAAGUACCAUGCUUCACUUCUAUCCAUAUGUAAUGUCUACCGGAGUCUGACUGCGUUUUGGAAAGUUGGCAUGUGCUAGUUUGCCACCUCGACCGUCUAAGGCCCGUUGAGAUGUGGAAUGGGGAUUUAAAUACAUCGAAUGAUUGAGGCUUUGAAAUGUUAUUAAUAUUAUCAUAUCCAGAAGUUUUAUACGCAAAUUUUAAAUUUGCAUAUCUUCCUCAAGUUUGGAAAGCUUCUCUAGUGCGGGCUAGCGCUCGAUAAUCACUAUAUGCAAGAUGAUAAUAUAUUGUUUUCUUUUCCCAUUUAUAGGGUGCUACCGAAUAGGAGCUCAAAAUAUCUUCGUUUCCGCAUCUAGGUCUCACCAUAAACCCAAAAGUGUCAUCAUAGAAUUCUUCAUCCGUAGGUAGCUUGUAAUAUUCUUGAAAUGCUUUUAAUUUGUUACUAGUUCUGGAGUUAAAGACCUUAUUUUCUCUUCGUAAAGCCAUUGAAAGUUAUUCUGAGGUAAACACUGAAUUUGAGCCCAACCAUAUAAAUUAACCAUAUCCCUCAAUAUUAUAUUAAGGACAGGUCCACUAUCAGCAAGUAAAAAAUUUUCAAAAAAUCCUGGUCGAACUUCGUAUGCCGAAUAAACUUAUGGGAUAACUAAUUGCUCCAAAUUUGCAGGAUUUGGGGGAGCCGCACGGAUUUCCAACCUUUUCCUUCUCACAGUCUUUUUAAGCGUUUGGGAUCGAGGAAGUGCACCUCGAGCUGCAUCUAAAGUGCAUUCAUUCAGAACUUGUGGGUUCAAUAGUGUCAGCUGCACGACGUUUAAACCUGGUAAUGAUUUUUUGAACUUCUACCUUUGCAGCGGAUGCUUCGUGUAAAUGUUGAUUGAUAGGUUUCAAAACUCCAUCUUCCCCACUAUGCAAUCUGGCUUUGCACCUUCCUCGUUCUUGGCAUCUCCAAAACUUAACAUUUCCAUCACUUGACAUCCUAUCAAAAACGUACACAAAACUUUCACUACAAAAGUUUGCUUGAGAACGCUGUGAGAGUAUUUCAUUUUCCAUUGUCGAUUGAGCACUGCUCAACUAAGGUUUCGAUUAGAGUGCAACCACACGUGUAAAGAUUGCAAAGUAGUUUCAGUUUGCAAAACUAGUUGGUUAGGUUUAGAAAAACUUAAAUAAUAAACAAAAGACAUUUUCCAAGUACCGCCCUUGCAUUUUGUAUAGAGUAGAAUUCACCUCAACCCAGGUUCGAACACCCUACCUCCGGAUUUAUAGUCCAACGCUCUACCAUUGAACCAUAAAGCCGGAUAGUAAAUUUGUCCUUUCAGAUAAAAAUGGCUCAAACGAAGCACGUGCUGAAGUUUAGUGCCAUUCAUUGUGAAUUACUUCACCAGUGCUGAUGAAACAAAACUUAUUCGAAGAGGGGAAAAUGCAGUGAAAUUAAACCACGUAGAACAGUGCUGAACUACUCGAUCGAUUGUACGAUGUAGAGGUAUAUCUAUAAGGAUGGCGAAAUCGAGAAAACAAAAUGUAGCUGUCCUCGAGGGCAAUCAUGCCAUCAUGUAGCGGCUUUGUGUAUAUAUGGCCAUCAUAAUAUUUCAGUACCCGAUGUUCAGUGCCAGUGGGCUAAACGGAAAUCGAAGGAAAUCACCACGAAAACUGUUGACGAAAUUUAUCGGGCCAUUCAAAUCUUCAUCUUCAAAUAAAGAGUAAUGUUUUAUAGAGAAGGUGCUAGUGAAUGAGGAAAAAAUUAAAUCCAUCAUCAGUGAAGCCAC